AUGCUUACUUCAACAACACAAGUACUAAAAUUGGAACGAUGUAGGGAUUAGCAUGGCCCCUACUCAAGGAUGACAUACAAAUUUGCGGAGCAGUCCACAUGUUU